CAACUAACAAAACCUCAUUAGUUGGUUUGAUUUAUAUAAAAAGAGGUGUAAUUAGAAGCAACACUAGAUGGCAGCACACGUUACAUGCAAUCCCAACGUCUCAGAUGUGACGUCAUCGCAUGCGCUCUCUCUUUUUGACGCGACGUUGAUGAGGACAGAAGCAACCAGCAGACGUUGAGAAAUAUAAACUCAUAAAACAGUAUUAAACAGUAUUAAACUAACAAAACGUUACACCAGCUGUUGUUAGCUGUGUGUUAGUUGAGUUAGGGGGUGAACCCAGCAGCAGUUGGUGAAUGAAAACCAAGUUAUCCCACUCGGCAGGCCAAACCCCCUUGUGAGUGUGUCCAGACGUCGUCGUUGCUAGAGCAUUGGAUGUGAUUCGGUCAGGUUUUUGGAUAAGGUUGAAGAUCCGGACAAGAUGGCGAGCCACCACCCAGGACCAAGACCUGCUUGAGAGCUACAGACGGACUGUCUGUGUAUGGUAUGAAUGUCAGUCACCCGACUGGUGCUGACUAGAACGAGUGAUUACGAGUGCACUCCAA